rnacentral:lncRNA from 1 species
GGGGUAGCCAUGGUAGGGAGCAAAGAGUAAUUCAGGUAACAAGUUCACUGAGUUCAACUUUGGAGGAGAUUUGUGGUCAGAAUCAAACAUACCUGAUUUCAGCAUUCUUCUGAACCCAGUGGAAGCUCAUCUACCAGAUAAUCACCAUCACUCAGCUGGGUCACAAUCUACUAAAAAGGGGGUCAGAGAAGGAAAGACCCAAGGCUAAGGAUUCCGGGCCUCUCAGGAAAAGCAGCUGCUUCAGGAUGAAGAUGAAGAUCUUCCCAGUCACUAACUGCCAGAGACUCACUGAAAUGGGUGAUGAACAAAAACUUCCCACCUUUGUCAGGAAGCUCAUGGCCAGAGAAGUUGCUGCUGAUGCUCUGAGCGAAGGAUGGAAGGGUUAUGUGGUGAGAAUGACAAACAAGGUUUCCCUAUGACCCAGUGUGUCUGGACCCUUGGCCAUGUUCAUCUGCUACUGAGCAGGGGGCUUUCCUGUGAUAGACCGAGGAGAAUUGGAGGAGAAAGGUGCAAGUCUGUUCUAUCCAGCGUUACAUUGUGGGUGUGAAUUUGAGUGUUCUUCACUUGGUUAUUGUAAAACCAGAGAGAGGGAUAUUCCUGGAAUGACUGAUGCUGUUAUGCCCCAUCGCCUAGGCCUGAAAGAGCUCUCAGAAUCUGCACAGUUUUCAAUCUCUCUAGAGAGACGAUGUCCACCGAUAUGCUGUGAGGCAGUCCCUGUUCAAAGAUGCUUGCAGGAAACUGCAAAGAAAGGAAAGAGAAGACGGCUGAACAAAACCAGUAAAAACCAGUUGAAGGCAACAUGAAAGUCUGACUGGACCUGACAUAGACCCUACAACACAUCAUAUGUUCAUUGUAAUACAUUGCAUAUUAUGGAACCUACCCACCGAUGCCAUGACAGUUUACAACUGCCAUGGCAAUGGCGGGAUACAACCAUAUAAGGAAAGAAAAGAGGUGGCAUCCUUGUUCCCCUGAAAAGCCUGCCUAGUUCCCCUAAUACCUGUGAAUAUUCCUCCCCUUCAUUACUUUGACCUCUUAUAACAGCUCAAUCGCCUCAAGAGCUGAGAAGUUGAUUGGUGAACUUUGCUCCCACUUCUCCAUUCUUUGUCCAUUGAAUAAAGCUUGUGCUAUU